GUAGGAGCCGGGCUUGCCCGCGAUGGCGGUAUGUCAGUCAAAUUAACUUUGUCAGAUAUACCGCCAUCGCGGGCAAGCCCGGCUCCCAC
rnacentral:antisense_RNA from 1 species